ensembl:piRNA 21ur-3375 ncRNA
UUAUUUGUGUGCCGUCGUUGG